GCGAGAGUGGCGAAAUUGGCAGACGCGCUAGAUUUAGGAUCUAGUGCCUUCGGGCAUGAGGGUUCGAGUCCCUCCUUUCGCACCA
rnacentral:tRNA from 1 species